AACGAACGCUGGCGGCGUGGAUUAGGCAUGCAAGUCGAACGAGAACGGGACUCUUCGGAGUCCCUAGUAGAGUGGCGAACGGGUGAGUAACGCGUGGGUAACCUACCCUCGAAUCUGGAAUAACGUUCCCAACGGAGCGCUAAUACCGGAUAACACUCCCGCGGCAUAUGUCGUGGGAGUCAAAGGUGGCCUCUACAUGUAAGCUGCCGUUUGAGGAUGGGCCCGCGUCCCAUUAGCUAGUUGGUGAGGUAACGGCCCACCAAGGCUAUGAUGGGUAGGCGGCCUGAGAGGGUGUACGCCCACACUGGGACUGAGAUACGGCCCAGACUCCUACGGGAGGCAG
rnacentral:rRNA from 1 species